UGAGACAGUUGUGAGUAGCAGUUCUUCAAAUAAACAGUCCCCCUGCAAGCCGCUGGGUGCGCAGCCGCCGCCAUCUCUGGAAUAAAGGCGGGCCGAGAGAUCAAAACCACGUUUCAAGAGAUGAAAAGCACAUUUAGUUAAGUAUCAGGGAGGAUGACAGGUGGCUCCGGUAUGUUCUGACUAUAACAGAACAAUCACGCGUAAUCAGGUUUGAAAGGCCGAACACGAGGAGGAACUGUGGAGUGAUACAAUGAGAUCCUGAUGUCAAGUGUUUGUCAGGCCACAACUGGAAACCGCUCGGAUCGGUGAAGGAUCAAGCUCGGGAGUCAGGUGAUGCUCGUUCUUCUCCCCCUGAACGCCUGCCUGCCUGCCUGCUGAGGACCUGAUGAAAGCGCCGGGCCACCUUCCCCAGAAGGGGAACAUCAAUCAGAAGAACAACAUGUCAAGCGAUGAGGGCAGCGCAGAGUCAUGCUCUGGGUGAAGGAAAGCUGCUGGCUCGGUCUGACAUGCACGCCUGGCAGUGCCAUUGGUGGGAUGAGAUCCGGAUAAUGAUGAUGACGACCAUGAUUGCCCGUUUUGCUUCGCUCAGACUCUCUGAGCGCACGUUCUCAAGGCCGGCUCUCAUUUUUCUGUGGCACAGCAUGAAACCUAUUACUCCUCACUCAUCACUUCUCGGGAGGCAGACAGCGAGAGAGGCCUGGAGCGAACCUCAAGCAAAACCCAUCUGAGAGGCUUAAUCACAAGUAAGUUUUGUUUAAUAAGCAGUGGAUCAUAUAUCUCUCACUGGUCUGAGAAGCUGUUUAGGGCUGGCAGUCUGAUCCCCUCUGGCAGAAGAAAUCUGGCUGUGGACACCCAUGACUAACUCCCUCCCCUCGUCAGUGCCUGCUGAUGAGGUGUUCUUCAACAAGACGCCCUCAGCGGGCCAACACGGCACCAAGAAACUGUACAAUGCGUUAGUUAAGAUAAAUAAAUAGAGUGUUGCCUCACAGCUCCACCCCUUUACCAAUCCGUAGUCCCAUUCGCACCCAUGGGUGCCCAUUGUAUGUUCCUUCUUUCGUUUCAUAUCCGUUCUUAAAUCAUUGCAGAUGAGUGUUUUUUUUCUUUUGUUGUCAAAUAUUUUCAGGAAUA